AUUAAAGUUGUUGCAGUUAAAAAGCUCGUAGUUGGAUUUCGAGGCUCCUUAUGUAAUAGUCAUGCGGUGGACACUUGCUUGUUGCUUUAGGGGGGUGUUUUUUCUGGGGCAACCCGAGGACACCACCCGGCGGCAGGGGAAAGGCCACUGCGGGCGGGGCCCAUUUAUAUUUCUCGAAGACGUCACGGGCCCUUAACUGGUGUACUGUGGUCGCGGAUUCGAGACGUUUACUUUGAAAAAAUUAGAGUGUUCAAAGCAGGCAAUCAAAAACGCUUGAAUACAUUAGCAUGGAAUAAUGGAAUAGGACUUUGGUCUUAUUUUGUUGGUUUCUAGGACUGAAGUAAUGAUUAAUAGGGACAGUUGGGGGCAUUCGUAUUUAAUUGUCAGAGGUGAAAUUCUUGGAUUUAUGAAAGACGAACUUCUGCGAAAGCAUUUGCCAAGGAUGUUUUCAUUAAUCAAGAACGAAAGUUAGGGGAUCGAAGACGAUUAGAUACCGUCGUAGUCCUAACCAUAAACUAUGCCGACUAGGGAUCAGUGGGGAACAAAUCAAAAAACUCCAUUGGCACCUUAUGAGAAAUCAAGGUUUUUGGGUUCUGGGGAAAGUACCAACGCAAGUUGGAAACUUAAAGGAAUUGACGGAAGGGCACACCAGGCGUGGAAUCUGCGGCUUAAUUUGACCCAACACGGGGAAACUCACCAGGUCCAGACAAAAUAAGGAUUGACAGAUUGAGAGCUCUUUCUUGAUUUUUUGGGCAGUGGUGCAUGGCCGUUCUUAGUUGGUGGAGCGAUCUGUCUGGUUAAUUCCGAUAACGAACGAGACCUUAACCUGCUAAAUAGCGACGUCAUUCCUUGUGAAGGACGGAUUUUGACUUCUUAGAGGGACUAUCGGUGACUAACCGAUGGAAGUUUGAGGCAAUAACAGGUCUGUGAUGCCCUUAGAUGUUCUGGGCCGCACGCGCGUUACACUGACAGAGGCAGCGAGUUUUUUUAAAUAUCCUGGCCUGGAAAGGUUUGGGUAAUCUUGUGAAUCUCUGUCGUGAUGGGGAUAGAUCUUUGUAAUUAUCGAUCUUCAACGAGGAAUGCCUUGUAAUCGCGGUUCAUCAAAUCGCGUUGACUACGUCCCUGCCCUUUGUACACACCGCCCGUCGCUACUACCGAUUGAAUGGUUUAGUGAGGUCUCGGGACUGGCGCGGCUUGGCUGUAAAAGGCCGAUCCAUGCUGGGAACUUGCCCAAACUUGAUCAUUUAGAGGAAGUAAAAGUC
rnacentral:rRNA from 1 species